UACGAAGGGGGCUAGCGUUGCUCGGAAUCACUGGGCGUAAAGCGCACGUAGGCGGCUUUUUAAGUCAGAGGUGAAAUCCUGGAGCUCAACUCCAGAACUGCCUUUGAUACUGAGGAUCUUGAGCUCGGGAGAGGUGAGUGGAACUGCGAGUGUAGAGGUGAAAUUCGUAGAUAUUCGCAAGAACACCAGUGGCGAAGGCGGCUACCUGGCCUGAUACUGACACUGAAGCACGAAAGCGUGGGGAGCAAACAGG
rnacentral:rRNA from 1 species